rnacentral:rRNA from 1 species
AUGUCUCCGUGGAGGGAAUUGUUCCACAAACCAAGGAUUUGGAGUUGCGAACAUGCAGAGAGUUCAGGCGGGAUGUUACCUUCCAAAGUGUUCAUGCUGAGGUUGAGGUCGCGGAGCCGGCUCAGGAGGCCAAGCUCUGAUGGUAUGCCGCCACUGAAGCUAUUAUUUGACAGUUGCAGCCUUGUAAGAGAGGUCAGGUUGGCAAUGCAAGGUGAUAUGGAGCCUGAGAUGCCUUCUGAGUCAAGGUCCAGCGCAAUCACACGCCGAGGGGACACCGUGCUGCAGGUGAUCCCAUGCCACUCGCAAACGUCGAGGGACGUGUUGCUCCAUGAAGCUAAAACUCCCGCUGGACCCGAGAGCCAGGACUUGAAGCAAAGAAGGGAUUGUCUAUCAUUUUCGGUUUCAUCGCAGAUGGCUAAUGGCAGGCAGCAAAAAAAGCCAAAGAGGCACAGAAACCAAACAAAACCUGGAAACAAGACACCGGAAGAUGCCAUUGUUAUUGUUUGCAGGAGUAUGUGGAUGAAAGCUCUGAUUUGUAAGAGGAUGUUUAAGUACUCAACUAUGGAGAGGGAUAAUAGCUAAGCCCUCUGGACAGCAACUUUGCGGUCAAGGAUUGAUACGGUGGGAACUGGGAUGAUGCAUGACCGCAUGCUUUUUUGGACCAGAUUUGGGUUUGUAACUUACAGGGACAGCCCGGCAGGUCGAUGCCUCCAAUCUGCUCACAUUGCAAUUGUCCCAGCCACCCUCCAACAGCAGCUUGAGGUACAGUGUGGACGCACGCUUUCUCUUGAUGAAUAAUGAACAUGUAGCUCUUGAAGUCGUCGCGCACGCCGCCCGGGAAGGUACCUCGGCGAGAUUUGACAUUCCUGAUAUCGGAAUGCAUGAAUAGUACCCAUACAGAUACAGGCAACUUAGACUGAACGGCAUGAUAGCUGGCUGAAGUAUGAACGCACGUCUUCCCCCUUUUUUUGUCAUUUACUUUCCUACCUUUGAUGGUCAUGCAUUAGUUAAUGGAGGAAUCAUUGGGAGAGGUAGCCCUCUAGGCGCCUCGUUGACUUGCAACAUUUCUGAUUUCCAAAUGCAUAAAAAACCCUGCCAGCGGCUGGUUCGGAGGCAGCCAUAUCACAGAUCGACUUCAUUUCGACGCAACCACUAGAGACUCCGUCUCGGUCUCCAUUCCUUUGCCUAGCUAAUGGGGAUGGGGAUGGCACUUGCUCCACGCUCGUCUCUGUCUCUGCGCUCCCUGCUGCUGCUCAUGCCGCACAGGAAGCCACAUCGGAGCUCUUUCUUCUCCUCCUCCGCCGCGGUUCCGCCUGCGGCUCCAGGAACUGCCAUUCCGGCUUCUGAUCCUGCCGUUCAGCCUCCAGCCGCUCCAGAUCCUGAUCUUGCAGUUCCUGAAGGUCCGCGCGGAUCUAGCCGCGAUGGUCCGCCACGCCAACCUCCUGGAACUAUGGAUAUAGACGCUGAAGACCCCGGCAAGAAGACUCUCUAACAGCUAAUAAUACAAAGUCAGUGGGAGCCUUUCCCACUGUCCUCAAGGUUAAAAAAAAGGACCGGCAAGUCAUCAGAGUUCGCCUACGGCACUUCAACGUGUACUCCUUGAUCAGCCACCCACCGUACGAACUGCAAAUGCUUGCUGCGGUUACUGCCGUGUUACCUCUAUGGACAUGUAAUCUCAGUGUUGUCGUAUUAUUGAUCUUUGUACCGUUCCAAUCUACUUCAACAAAUAAAGGUGUGCGUUAGAUUUUCGUUUUGAGAGGUAUGAUGUACAACUUGCGUAAAGAAAUAUAAGAGCGUUUAGAUCUUUAUAAGAAACACUCUUAAAUUUCUUUACAGAGGGUGUACGUACGUUAUUAAUCUUUGCCCAAUUGCUCUUAAGCAGUACACAUGUGUGCAGUUCUUUUCGGAGGAAAAAGAACAUAGACUGCAUGC